AUAUAUAGUUUCAGAUUGGGUAAAAUGGUGGGUCAAACGUCCAUUUUACCGCCGUAUUGUUGGGUCUUUAGUCGAUUGUCGGGUCCCAAAGUCGAUUAUCGGGCACUUGGACCCGACAGUUGAAGACCCACUUAAUAAAAGGCUGCUUAACAUCCUCAUGACUAUUUUUUAAUUCAAAUUUGCGUAUGUAAUUUUACUCGAAUUGUCGGGCCUAUAUCUCCCAUUCGCAAACUUUAGAUCAAACUCCUCACGGCAGUUACUUCCCUUGGGCAUCUUCUAGAAUAAGGGAGGCCACUGAGCCCUUUUCGGAAAGUCGCAUAUCUCCCCUGAGUAUUCUCCGGAAUUGGAGGUUCUCAAUCGCUGGCAUUCGGUACCCCUCGCAGAUUAUCAUAAUACUUAUCCGAUGUUUGACGGAAAGGGCCGAGAAUGUGCGAUUGAAUCGCUGGGUAGUAUUGAUUUCCAGUAACAAUGGCGUCGAAUGAGAAAGAAAACGAUCGUUAUCUGUCUGACAUCGAAAUUGACAAAUUAAGUGUUGCACAAUUGAAGGAUUAUUUACGAUUUCAUAAUCAUUAUGUGUCAGGGAAUAAGAAUGAACUUGUCUUGAGGACAAAAGGCGUACAAAAGCUAGGAUUAAAUGAUCGACAGCUGCACAGGAAUGCGGAAGUAAAUUAUGAAAAAAGGAAAACAGAAAAACUUUUUACGCCACUCGGUGAAAAGCUGCCACAUCCAGAUGUAUUAAAAACGUUGAGUAGUGACUUAAUGGACUUUCCUACAUUAAUAGAUAGUGACAUCUACAAUUAUUUUGUGCUGAAAAUGAACACACAAAAACAAUUGAGAUCAAAAAAUUGUAUUAUGUUUACAGACAUAAACACAGUAUUUUGUACCAUGACAUAAGUGACAAAUGGGAACAUUGUUUUGUUAAAUGCAAAGUAUUACCAUCACUACCGAGUGCAAAUGUGAAAGAAAACCCAGAUCACAGUGUGUGGCUCUGUCUGUCAAAGGUCACUGGACAGGUUCAUUCAGCGGAAUGUAAUUGCACAGCCGGGAGCGGAGAAGCAUGUAUCCAUAUUGGUGCAUUUAUGUAUGCCCUUUCUGAUCUCACUGCUAAAAAGAAGGACGGCACUCUAAGAUCAACCUCAAAAAAAUGCGUGUGGGACAGAUUUAAUAAUCCCCGGAAAAGAAAGCGAACGCCUAAAAAGUCUAGCGAAUUUACAUUUCGGAAACAUACCUUUGAGUCAAAAUUAGAGCCAGUCGAAAAUAACACCAGAAAAGAACUUCUUGCGAUUUCUGUAAAUGAGAACAGUUUCCGUUCAAAACUCGAAAAUAUGCAACCCAACAGCUGGAUGGCUUUUGAACUUUGUAGAAGAGAAGGAAGAGGUGAAAUUACCAAAGUUUAUAGAAAUUGGAUAUAACUUUAGUGAUAGCGUAGAUCUGAAUAGUGAAACUGUGAAGGAUAAAAUGUCGAAAAUGAUGGAUAUGCUACAAAUGGAUGAACUUGAAUGCCAAAGUAUUGAAAAAUUAACCAGAGGUCAGGGAAAGAACGUACUUUGGGAAGAUGAAAGAAAAUUACGUGUAACUGCAUCCAAUUUUGGUGAAGUAAUUUUACUGAAACAAGAGACUGAAAGAUUUAAAAGAAAUUGAGUGCAAUCUUUAAAGAAUAGUAACAAAUAUGAAUUUAAGAUCACAAUUGUGAAUUUCUCGCAAGCUUACCCUUGCUCCUAGAAUAUGUUUUUAUAAUUUUGAUGUCUCACUUUUCUCUAGAGAUUAACCCUUUACUUCUUAAAUAUGUAUUUUCAAGCUUUUGUAGUUCCUUAAAAAGUUAAAUGUAAUAAAGUACCUUUAUUACUAAAUUUAAGUUUUAAAGGCUUCAUUUCCAACCCUUAAAUACUGAUGAGCAGCAAACAGUAUAAAACCUGAACAGACUGCGAGUUACUAGCAUGCUGUUCUGGUUUUAUGCUGUUUUCACUGUGCUUCCAAGUGGAAUAGGGUUAAAUAACAAAAGUUAACGCCAGAUCAGAAAAUAAUUUAAGUAACAACAGUACAGGACAUCAUUGAGGUCCCUCCUUUUUUAUGUUUCAAUAGUCAUUUAGCUCUACAAAGCAUAUAAAUAUUGUACAUAAAAGUGUAUGAAUGUAUAAAUAUUUAUCAACUGUUCAUAUUAUGAAUUUUACAGUAGUACAUGUAGAAUGCUUUUCAACGAUUUGUGUACGGUUCAUUAAUACCAUCACAACGUGAUUGUCAAUUGUUAUUCCGCUAAAUUGAUUUGCUCUUAAAAUGAUAAAUCAUAAAAAGAACUUUUGCUAUGUUAUUAUCCAUCACUUAUUACCUUACCUGUGUUUGGAGAAAAACCGAAGGGUUUACGAUAAUAAUCUGUUUCAAAAUGUUAAAAUGAUAUGAAAUUAAUGAGUGGCAAGCAUGAACCAAAUUAAGAAAAUCAACACAGAGGUAUCAACAGCUGCAUCUUAUUAAAAAUCUGUGCACAAUGCUUUUUGUCCAAGUAUAGAUCAUUUCAGAACCCCAUUGAGUUAAUAGACACCUUGGAAGCUUUGCUGGUAUGACUUCUGCUUUACAUCUGACAAGUACUCUGCAGGUGUUGCUACUUGUAUCAGAAAUCUUGGUUUUAAACAAGAGCUGUCACCAUAGGAUGACUUAUGCCCCCUAUAUACGCUUGAUAGAAGUUAUGAGCAUUUUCCCAAACCUAAAUGCAUAUUUCGAAACCUAAACACGGACCCUAAGUUUAAGGUCAAGGUCACAGGGGUCAAAGUUUGUGUGCAUAUGGAAAGGCCUUGACCAUAUACACAUGCAUGCCAAAUAUGAAAAUGCUAUCUGAAGCGACAUAGAAGUUAUGAGCAUUUUUCGAAACCUAAACGCAAAGUGUGACGGACAGACCGACAGACAGUCCGAUCACUAUAGCGACAUAGAAGUUAUGAGCUUUUUUCGAAACCUAAAUGCAUAUUCGAAACCUAAACGCGGACCCUUAGUUUAAGGUCAAGGUCACAGGGGUCAAAAUUUGUGUGCGUAUGGAAAAGCUUUGUCCAUAUACACAUGCAUGCCAAAUAUGAAAUUGCUAUCCAAAGCGACAUAGCAGUUAUGAGGAUUUUUCGAAACCUAAACGCAAAGUGUGACGGACGGACAGACCGACAGACAGUCUGAUCACUAUAUGCCCUCCUUCGGGGGCAUAAAAAUUCUUGACGGGUUUAUUGCUCCCAAUUAUAAAUUAACUGUUGAUUAAGUCUUCAGUAGCAGUACUAAACCUUAAAGACAAACAUUUACUUAGGUAUACAAAAGAAAUCUGUGUUUUCAACGCUCUGUGUCAAUUAAUGUAUGUAAACUUGAAUCCAGUACAAUAUUUAUCAGAAUUUCAGUCUUAUAAUUUGUUUGGUCUUACAAAACUGCUUUCAAGCAAGAAAACAUGUAUAAAUAUAUUGGCACAAACACACAAACGCAGAAACACAAUUUUCUUUUUUUGCCUGAAAAUGUUUGUAUGGAAUAUGAGACAAGAAAAUAAUAAUCAGUAACAAUUUUAUUUUCACAAAUGAAAGCUGACUGUAAAAUGUGAAAUUAAGUAUUAUUCACAUAAUUACAUAGUAUAUUACUUAUACAUACAUGCAAUGGUCAAACACUUCUAGUUAAAUUGUAUACUGAAUUUCUCACAAAGUUCACUUGUUCAGCUUCUUAUCAAACUUAAUUUGUACUAGUUUUAAGGAGCCACUUUUCCAGUUUAUAUUAGCAUGACUAUUUUCAGUUUAUAAACACACUUUAUUUUCCGGGGACAGGUUUUUCGUGCUAACCCUGCUUUCAUUCCAACACUGACCUCAUCAAAUAAACACUCAAAAGUUCCAGCAGUUGGGAUACCAGUGUAGAACAACACCUUAUCGUCAUCAUCCCUUAUAUCCUCAAAGGUGAAGCUAGGCCGAUCCACUUGUAUCCCAACUGUCGACGUUUCAGUAGAAGUCUGGGUUGAUAUACUUCUGGGAACUCUCGUAUCGUCGGUUUGAGUAACCACAGAAAUCAGCUCCGGUUGCACUUGUUCACACUGAUGACGGAUUAUGGCGGGUACUGGUGUAAACCUUCCAUAGUCAUGGAGCUGAAAUAAAUAAAUACAUUUUUACAAGCAAAGUAAAUGCAGUUUGAAGUAAAGAUUAUAGGUCUUUCUGUAUUUUACUAAGGCAUCACCAAACUGAUAACUUCUUCAGUUUUUUUCUUUAAAAAUGGGAAGAGCAUGAAAAACAACUAUCUAUUUAUACUGCCAAGUGCCCUUUCGAGCAUGGUAGGCAGACAUGGACAUUAUCGAGUCGGUUUCCUGGGAAGAACCAGUACUUGGUGUCCAUGGAGGAGAUAAUUAGAAUGCUUCCCAAGUAAGGAGUGAACCCACUAACACCCGAUCGCUAGGCGGAUAUCUCAUCCACUACAACACCGCGACCUUGAACUACAAAUAUUUUUUUAUGUCCCCCACUAUAGAAGUGGGGGACAUAUUGUUUUUGCCCUGUCUGUUGGUUGGUCUGUUGGUUGGUUGGUUUGCGCCAACUUAAACAUUUUGCAAUAACUUUUGCUAUAUUGAAUAUAGCAACUUGAUAUUUGGCAUGCAUGAGUAUCUCAUGGAGCUGCACAUUUUGAGUGGUGAAAGGUCAGAGGUCAAAUAUAUGUGGCCUAAAUUGCUCAUUUUAUGAAUACUUUUGCAAUAUUGAAGAUAGCAACUCGAUAUUUGGCAUGCAUGUGUAUCUCAUGGAGCUGCACAUUUUGAGUGGUGAAAGGUCAAAGUCAAGGUCAUCCUUCAAGGUCAGAGGUAAAACAUAUUUGUCCCAAAUCGCUUAUUUUAUUAAUACUUUUGAAAUAUUGAAGAUAGCAACUUGAUAUUUGGCAUGCAUGUGUAUCUCAUGGAGCUGCACAAUUUGAGUGGUGAAAGGUCAAGGUCAUCCUUCAAGGUCAAGGUCAUCCUUAAAGGUCAAAUAUAUGGGUCAAAAUUGCUCAUGUAAUGUCACUUCUGCAAUAUUGAAGCUAGCAAUUUUAUAUUUGAAAUGCAUGUGUAUCUCAUGGAGCUGCACAUUUUGAGUGGUGAAGGGUCAAGGUCAUCCUUCAAGGUCAAACAUUAUUUAGGGGGACAUUGUGUUUCACAAACGCAUCUUGUUUCAAAUUAUCUUUAUUCAACAACAUUUUGUAUAACGAUAAAACAACUCACUCUUAGAGAUACGUCUAGUAGUGAUGCACUGCUUUCAACCAACAAACCAUCUGCCUCGUUCUCGAAACUCAAGUCUGGUGAACGGUUAUCUGACAUUUCCUCAGUUUCUGGUGUGGAAUUCGUCUCAUCUGCUUCAGGGCCAUUUUCCAGAGUCUGUAAGGUAAACAAAUAAAAUUAAAUCAGCACAUCAAAGACCUAGAAAUACACAUACUUUUUCAAACUAACAUGAAAGAAUGAUGUUCAGAUACGUAAUAUUUAUGCUUCUGUAUCAUGUUGUAAACACCGUCAGAUUCUAUACCGAUAGAGUAACUGACCCAUGUUCAUUCUUGAAACCUCGUAUAGCCUAGUGGCAACAUAUCCGCUUCAAAAUAUCAGAUACCAUUGGUUCGAUCCUCGGCUGUGAGCUACAUAAAAUAAAUCAUGAACUGUGCCAUGGGUAUGUCUGCCAUUAUCCCAUGCUUGAUUGUACCACAAGGAAUCACUGAUUUGAAUAGUAAGCUCGAUUUAAUAAUCCAUCGGAAUCGUUUUAAGGUGAUAAUCUGAUUACACGCAGUGCGCAAUCUGAUUAUGUGAUGACUUAAAUUAGUAUAAGUAUUAA